AGAGUUAGCAGAGGUCAGUGAGGGGUUUGAUGCCCUUCAGGUUCCUGGGUGAAGACUGGGGAGACACUGAGCUUGGUGGGAGGAAAUCAGAGGAAAGGAAUAUCAAGGAAAGGCAUUUUUUUUUUCUCCCAAUAGACAUUUUAGAGGAUGUAUUGUAGCUGGAGUAAAUUCUACUUAAAUCAGUAAUCUUAAAAAGUGGUUAAAAUUACCAUUUCUUUUUCAAGUGCAUCAGUGUUGAAUCUUCUUGGGAUACCAGGUUUCAGAAGCAGAGGAACAAAGAUGUACGGGUUAAAUUUUCACUUUGAGUUAUGUAACUUUUUGUAUCACAAAUGUUAGGAUUUCUGCUGAAUUAGAAUGUCUGUGUACUUUUUAAAUGGCCUGAUGAAUUCAGUAUGUAAGAACAGAGUAAUAGAAGAAAUUGAGACUACAGAAAGACUGAAACAUACUGUAAUUUAGUAUUUUUAUGCGCAGAAAGACUAAAACGUGGUAAUUUAGUAUUUUUAUGCGCAGAAAGACUGAAACAUAUGGUAAUUUAGUAUUUUUAUGUGGGGCAUUGUUCAGCCACUGUGGAGAAGAUGAGUUUUUUUAAUGAACAGUAUUAGAAACUGUGGAUUACCCAGUUAGUGAAAAACCGGGUUGGAU
rnacentral:lncRNA from 1 species